rnacentral:rRNA from 1 species
UACGUAGGGAGCAAGCGUUGUCCGGAAUCAUUGGGCGUAAAGCGCGCGUAGGUGGCUUCGUAAGUCCGUUGUGAAAACUCGAGGCUCAACCUCGAGACGCCGGUGGAAACCGUAAGGCUAGAGUCCGGAAGAGGAGAGUGGAAUUCCUGGUGUAGCGGUGAAAUGCGCAGAUAUCAGGAGGAACACCCGUGGCGAAAGCGGCUCUCUGGGACGGUACUGACGCUGAGACGCGAAAGCGUGGGGAGCAAACAGG